CAGUAGCCGCGGUAAUACGAAGGGUGCAAGCGUUACUCGGAAUUACUGGGCGUAAAGCGUGCGUAGGUGGUGGUUUAAGUCCGUUGUGAAAGCCCUGGGCUCAACCUGGGAAUUGCAGUGGAUACUGGAUCACUAGAGUGUGGUAGAGGAUAGUGGAAUUUCCGGUGUAGCAGUGAAAUGCGUAGAGAUCGGAAGGAACAUCUGUGGCGAAGGCGACUAUCUGGGCCAACACUGACACUGAGGCACGAAAGCGUGGGGAGCAAACAGGAUUAGAUACCCCCGUAGUCCCUGUCUCUUAUAU
rnacentral:rRNA from 1 species